rnacentral:lncRNA from 1 species
CCAUGGACUUCUUGAUAGUAGAGGAUAAGUUCUAAUUCAACACAUUCAUUUAACACUAAACAAAAAUUUUAAAGCCAGUUUUUCUUUCAAAACCACCCACCAACCCUGACUAACAUCAGAAACUCUGCAAGGAAAAAUAAAUUACUGAUUUAAAUUAUUAUAAAGAUUUACUAAAAACGUUUGAGAAUUUAAGUAUUGAGUAUAUAAAGUGAUUAAAUGUUCAUUUAAUAAAAGAUCCUGAGGCACCUACCAAAUAUUCUUUAAAAGUUAUUAUAAUUAUCAAUUAUGGAAAUAUGAUUAUUAAAGAGCCUUUGGGAUCCUCCAUCUGACAGCAGAUUAUGUAGUGUAUAAAUUUCAAGCAUUUAGUGAAUUAAUUCUCUCUGAGCAGCCAGCCACAUGGUCUUGGCUGAACUCUUAUCUUUCUGAAAACCAGAGGAAAAGGAUAGCUGAGCUAUUUUUUUUCUUUACUUCAAUUACAAGAUAAGAACAUGAUUACAAUUUCUUCAAGAUUAUUUCAAGGAUUCCUGGACACUAAGAAAGGCUACUAAUCAAUGGACAACUGAUAGGCAAAUUACAAAUCACCAAUCUCCAUUCUCUAAGCAAGUCCCCAAAGGGAUUUGCAAAAACCCGAUGUGGAUGGCUUACUUCACUUCCCAACUUAUUAAAAUGCAUUUCUUGAUAAAUAUUCUAAUUUUCAAACUCUUGAAUUCAGGACUGACUUUCCCUAUAGUGUCUGGUUAGUUUUACUGUAAUGUCAGUAGCAUCUGGCUAUUAAAAAUCAAAUAUUUAAUCCCAAACCCGGCACC